rnacentral:rRNA from 1 species
GGAGUCUGGACCGUAUCUCAGUUCCAGUGUGGCCGGACACCCUCUCAGGCCGGCUACCCGUCGUUACCCUGGUGGGCCGUUACCCCGCCAGCUAGUUGAUAGGAUACGAGCACCUCCUACAGCGCGUUGCCGCUUUAACCUUUCGGCCUAUGGGGUAUUAGCAGAAGUUUCCCUCUGUUGUCCCCCUCUGUAGGACAGCUUCUCAUAUAUUACUCACCAGUCCGCUGCUCCGUAAGCACUUCCCUGUCUCCAGUUCCGUAGCUCCGUCGCUCAACUUGCAUGUGUUACGCACGCCGCCAGCGUUUAUC